UUCGCGGCGACGUGGGCGGUUCGCCGCCGGCGACGUCGCGAGAAUUCCACUGAACCUUAUCAUUUAGAGGAAGGAGAAGUCGUAACAAGGUUUCCGUAGGUGAACCUGCGGAAGGAUCAUUGUCGAACCCUGCUAAGCAGAACGACCCGUGAAUUUGUAAAAACAACCGGGUGAUGGGGGGAUGGACCUUGGUCUUGAUCCUCAAAGCCCCCCUGGCGUGCAAAUAUGGUGUCUCUUUUGGGGACCCAUGGAUGUCUCGUCAGACUAACAAACCCCGGCACGGAAUGUGCCAAGGAAAACAAAAUACGAGAAGGACUCGUCCUGUUAUGCCCUGUUUUCGGUGUGCAUACUGGUCGUGGCCUCCUUUGAAUCACAAACGACUCUCGGCAACGGAUAUCUCGGCUCACGCAUCGAUGAAGAACGUAGCAAAAUGCGAUACUUGGUGUGAAUUGCAGAAUCCCGUGAACCAUCGAGUUUUUGAACGCAAGUUGCGCCCGAAGCCAUCCGGUUGAGGGCACGCCUGCCUGGGCGUCACGCAUCGCGUCGCUCCCACCACACUUCUCCUAACAGGUUGUUUUGGUGUUUGGGGCGGAGAUUGGCCUCCCGUGCUUGUAGUGCGGUUGGCCUAAAUAUGAGUCCCCUUCGGUGGAUACACGGCUAGUGGUGGUUGUAUUGACCCUCGUAUUUUGCUGUGUGUCAUGAGCUGCUAGGGUAUCCCUCAUCAAAGACCCCAUUGUAUCGUCUUCUUUAGGACGAUGCUUCGACCGCGACCCCAGGUCAGGCGGGAC
rnacentral:rRNA from 1 species